AAAUUUAAUUGAUUUUGUAUAUAAAAUAUUAAAUUGUUUUACGAACUUAUUUGUUUAUAAUUUGGUAACAGAUAGAUAUUUGAGUAUUCAGUAUAUUUUGCUUCAGUUUAGGAAAUCUUUGAUGACCCGUCUUUAGAUCCAAUAAGCCCUAUAAUCUAGAUAUUAACUUGCAGUAUAUCGAUGGUAGGUUUAUAUUUUAGUUAAACUAAAAACUUUUAUUGUAAAGAUGAUUUAAAAAUAUAUGAUAUUAUUUUAUUUGAUUUUAAAUGUAUAGUAAAUUGUGAGUUGUAUAUGUUUUAUUGAUAUUAUCUAUAUUGUUUAAUGUUUAAGAUUAUAUAUUUGUAGUUUGAUUGUUAAUUUAAGAGUUUCACCUGUAGUAUACCAUCUUGUAUUAAUAUCGAUCUAAACUUGUCAAUUCUAAGAUUUUCCAGCUUGUAUUAAAAAUUGAAUCACAUCAUACACAUAAAAAAAUCUAAUAUGUUAUUAAUUAUUAUAGUAUAUAAGAUU
rnacentral:sRNA from 1 species